rnacentral:rRNA from 1 species
UACGGAGGGGGCUAGCGUUGUUCGGAAUUACUGGGCGUAAAGCGCACGUAGGCGGCUUUGUAAGUUAGAGGUGAAAGCCCGGGGCUCAACUCCGGAAUUGCCUUUAAGACUGCAUCGCUAGAAUUGUGGAGAGGUAAGUGGAAUUCCGAGUGUAGAGGUGAAAUUCGUAGAUAUUGGGAAGAACACCGGUGGCGAAGGCGGCGACCUGGUCCUUUUACUGACGCUGAGGCGCGAAAGCGUGGGGAGCAAACAGG